GGAUGUGAGGGCACUGGCUGUGACAUCUGUCACCCCACUGAUCGCCAUGAUUGAUUCGGCUGAUCUGGCUGGCCAGGCGGGUGUCCCCUUCCUCCCUCACCACUCCAUGUGCAUCCCUCCCAAAGCUGUGCACUCCAUCUAAGAGGAUGACCACCCCCCCAAAGAGGAAGACCCUUUCCUCAGUCAAGGGUAUACCAGCAGCUGUGCUCCCCCGAACCUAGGUUCUCCCUAGAACCUCCUAACAAGCUCUCAAUUCAGUGUUCAGUCAAGGCUCAAGGGCUGAGGGCACGUACUU
rfam:Heterocephalus glaber contig157508, whole genome shotgun sequence.